UUGAAUUCUUACUUGGACAUAAUGUUAAGUAAACAGACAAGACACUUUAUUUCAGACUAGUUUAUUUAAUAGAUCAGAAAUGAUACAUGUCACAUAGUAUAAUGUCAAGAUUUGCUUUAAUCAAAAAACAAAUCAGGAUCAAGAGAAGAAAAAAGUGAUCAUGACUUGCUCAUAGAUUGUUCAUUUCUGCCAAUACCUAGAAUGAAUGGAACAUAAACUAGCACCAAAAGAUGAACAAAUUAUGGUUUCAAACUACUGGUAGACCUUGAUGCAUGAUCACAACUGAGCUCAACACUUACAUUGCUAAGCAAGACAGUUGUUCAAUUUUGCCUCACUUUACGUUUUUUCUUGCCACAGUUGUUAAAUGAAUCACUGCAGGUGUUAAGUUAGUAACACAGUUAUUAAGUAAAUCUGGCUUCCUCAUUGACUUUGCUUGUCAGAAGAUCACAAAAGAUAAUCACAUGUCCCUAAGAAAUGUAAGCGACAUAGAUACAUGCCAGUUGCCAAGUGGCCAAAUUUUUGAUCACGUGACCAUGGGGAUGCUGCCAAUGGUUGUAACUGUGGAAAAUGGUCCUUUUCUCAGGGUCACUGUAACUUUUAAUGGCCACUAAAUGAAUGGUUGUAAGCCAAGGGCUACCUGUAUAGUUCUUGUCCCAAAUGACCAUACAUUUUUCUGACUUAGAAUUUUUUUUUUAAUAUCACUCUUAAGCCAAAAACAAACCACUUGUAAAUUACCUUGGAUUUAGUGCAUGAACUGUGCCACUGCAAAUCAUUUUGUAUAUCACCAUGGCAUACUUGUGUGUUCUAACCCAAAAGUAAGGAUUGAAAAGCAUGAAGUAUUUGAAUGCUGUGAUUAUAUGUAGUUUCUACAUUAAAGCAUUUCAGGACACAUCUGAAAUCACUAAAUUGCUCUGCUCAAUAAUGUUUCUAAUUAUUGUUCAUUUAUCCUUUAUCAUAGGAGCCUAGAAAUCCUAGAUCUAAUCCUAAAUCCUAGAAAAUAUCCCAAUUGCAUGUGGUAAAGCAGCCAUGAAGGCUUUGGAAAAAUAUUUAAAUGCUGUGAUAUGUCUAUGCCUACAAAAAUCAGAGUAACACAAGCAAUGGUAUUCUAUAUGAUACUCUAUGGAAGCAAAAGACACAGAAUAGGAAGAAUAUUGACACCUUUGAACUAUGAUGUUGGAGAAGACUCCUGGGAAUAUUGUGGACAGCCAAGAAAACAAACCAAUGAAUCACUGAAUAAAUCAACCCAGAGUUCACUUGAGAUACAAAUGACCAGGCUGAAAUUCUACUUUGGACAAAUUAUGUGGAAAAUGCUCUAAUGCCCGAAAAGAUAGAAGGAAAGAUUAUUUCCAAUAUAUGUUCAUGAACUGAAUGCUCUUAUAUAUAAAAAAGUUUUUUAUGUGCAGAGAACUAAAAUAAUACAAGUUACUUUCCCAGUUUUCUCCCAAAUGUAAAGAUUUUCUAUGUACAUAUUUCAUAUAACUGAAAGUGAUGUGGAACAUCUAAUAUACAUCAUCUUCACCUAUCUAUACAGUAUAUCCUGAAAUAACACAACAAUACACCUUAUAUUUUCAGAAAAUCUAAGUUGUCUUCUGGAACAAAGUCAUUUAGAAGAAUGGUUUUUUUUUUAAUGAUUCAAGUUUCCUUUUAUCUGGCUUACAGAACAGGGGCUCUAGGCAUUAGCAAUUGGGAAAGACCCUGAUAUAUAGUUCCCUGAGCAGGAAAAGUUGCCAUUUGAGUGGAAACAGGAAUUUAGUUUCUUGCUUCUACUGCAAACAAUAUUCACUGCACUUAUUAAUAAAACUUAUGACAAACCUAGCUUUUGUACAAUAACAAGCAUUUAUUAUAGGAGUUGGAGUAGGAUGGUGUUAUUAGUAACUUCAUGAUCUGGGCUCCUGCGCACCAGGAAAAAAAAUAUAGCUAAACUAUAAGAUUUUCCUCUCUGUGGGUGGCAUUAAUCAUUACAUUGCCUAUAGUGGAAAACUAAAUGAUUUUUUUCAUAUUUAAAUUCAGUUCUUUGCACUGUUCCACUAGGUAGUUAUUUGUUUUAGCCUUUUCCUGCUGCACCACACCCAUGGUACAAACUAUGUAAAAGUCAUGGCCAUUCCUUCAUUUAAAACAAGACCAUCAUAAUGAUAGCACAAUUUAUUUGCCUGAUCGAAAUACUGCAUAAUAAUGAAGGUGUGCUUUGAUUGCCUGGGUCUGAACUCCUGACAGGUUGCAACCCUAAAUGCAAACAAUUUUGAAAGCAAACAAGUAAUGUGAAGAGAAAAGGAAAAUGUCACAUAAUCCAUUCACCACACAUUUCAAAGCAUAGCUAGGAAUUUUGUGUUCUCUAAAGCUAUACUUGUUCUCUGAUUAAAUAGAAAAGCAAGUAUUCCCCAUAAGGUAUCCAUGAACUAAAGACCAGGAAUUAUGAGUUCUCUUUUGUCAACCUUUUAACUUUUAAACAGGAAUUUUCAUUUGAUUUAUGGAGAAAUAUGCAAACCAUAUAAAAUUCUCACCUAUCUGCACCGAGUUUUUAGGCAGUUAUUUUCUUUAUGUAACAAUUCAUCUUGUACUUGCCUGCCAUGUAGUUGUUAGAGAUGAAACACCUGUUAGGAAAAUGAAGUGGAAUUUUAAUGAACAACAAAUAAGGUUGAAUAUACAGACCCAGAUCCAUGUACAGGGAAUUGGGAUCAGAAUUUCAAUCCCUAAGUAAUAUGGUCAUUAAGUGAGUCAUCAUGUGAUCAGACCUAAUUUUACCAGAGCUUUAUCAUAGACAUUAAGUGAAUCACUAUGGUUGUUAAUUGAAUCACACGGCUGCUAAGCAAAUCUGGCUUCUCCAAUUGAGUUGGCCAAAAGCUGGUUGAGAGGAUCACAAAUUGUGCCCACGUGACCACAAUGCACUGCAACCGUCAUAAAUACAAGACAGUUGCCAAAUGGCCAAACUGCAAUCAUAUGACUGAGGGGGUAGUGUGACGACUGUAACUUAAGAGCAUGGGUUGUAAAUCACUUUUUCUAAAGCCAUUGCAACUUUGAAUCAUUGUUAAAUGAAUAGUUAUUAAGUCAAGGACUAGCUGUAUUAAGAAACAUGUAAAAGUCCUAUGCAGGAUAAACCCGUGAGUUUGCAUUACCCUACUUUUAAUUUUUUUUUUAAAAAAAGAUGAAACUUCUUCUAGUAUUUUAAAACAAAUUCAUGCCCUCUUCUAAUUCCUGGACCUACCCAAGACUCAAGAUCAGUCCAUUGUGUUUCAUUAAAUCCAAUAUACACUACAGAAUCUAUCUGCCUUUGUGCAAAAUUUGAAAUUGAAUUAAGAGUAGACAAUGAAAAAAAUGAGACAAUUCUUUUCCUUGACCACAAAUUCAUCUUGUUCUGAUGAGAGUUCAUAAUUGUAGUCUCGAUCAUUUCACACACUGUCAAUGAAAUAUAUGUAUUACCUUCAACAUUCACAUUCAUAUUUUAAAACUGUUGAUUUUAAAUAUAUGCUGAGUGGGACAACUAUUCUAAAAAAAAUAUGCUAAUACAAGAGGGAUGUGUUUGGCUAGUGUACCAUCAAUGUUAAAAUCUGUAAAGCAGUCUACAAGCAGAAAAACAUAUAGUAACAUAUAACUGAAGACUGAUUUUUUUUUUUAAGAAAAAGAUUAACAAGAAAAUUGAUCACUUUUCUGGAAAUUCAACCUUUAAUUUUGAUGUGAGAGGUGAAUCUUUUAUUUACAAUAUGAAAAUGGAAGGCAUCAGUACAACAGAGACCAGAGAUGGAAGGUUUGGGGCCUUAAACUUUCAGAAGCCCUACACACUGGCCCUACUCCUGUUUUGCAGGAGUAGCUUAGUAGUUCAUAUUGAUGCUACCUAUCUUCCGGGUAGCACCUCACUAGUAUAUUUCCCAUCAUCCCAGUAGGAGAGAAAGAGUUGUCAUGAAAAUUACGCUGCAAUUAAGGUAAGAAAAUGCAAAAUAAUAAAACCUCUUGAUCAUGUCUUCUAGUCCAAUUUUAGUUAAUUUCAUCCAUUUUACCCCUUUUGAAACACAGACCAAUCUUGUAAUAAGAAGAGAAAACAUGUACUGUAAAACCCCUUUUUAAUUUUAAACAGUAAAAAGUAAAUAGUCAGCGCUGGCAAAGAUAAAUUAUAAAGCUAACAAAUUGAAAGGAAAUUUCCAAAAGAAAAUGCUCUAGGCAGGCCAUAAAGUAGUGCUGGUCUUGCUACAAAUGGCAUUCUUGUCAAAUGGGAAAAGUUGCAAUUUAAUGCGCACUAUCUGUAUGGAGGAAGUUUGCAGUACUGCAAAUAUCUGGCAAGCAAGCAUUUUCACAAGUCAGGAAAAAAAACCCAAAAGGUAAAUUGGAGAAAUGAAACAUAAAUCAGCUUAGAUGCUCUGUGGAAGUUAAGCAAUAUAUCUAGCAUAUAGCAGGAAACAGGAAUGUUUUCAAGAUAGUGGGGUCUUUUCUCUAAAAGUUUAAAGGAUGAUUUUGUAAGAGUACAUGCAAUGUUUACUUACAAAAGUGUAACAUAUGGAAUGCAGCAAAUGGGCUUUCAAAUAUUGUCACACAGGCAUGUACGGUGCAGUUGCUGCUGACUCUAUUGAACUGUGCAAGUGGCAGUAAAUACUUAUUGUUUAAUAACCGUCAUAUUCAACAGUACAAAGAGUGAUUUCUGUCCUGCAGCUGGUUAGACCUUAGGUGUGCUGCUCUUGCUAAUUGCCAUUAGUUAGUCAGUCCUGAAGAUACUAUUCAAAAAAUAAGAAAUAAUAGUUGAACCAAUGAGGAGAGAAGCAUAAUAAUCAUAAUAAACAGAAUACAGAAAUGUAGGACAAGAAAUUGUACCACUGAGAAAAGAGAAGUGAUAGUUUAUCUUGCUUUGUACUGAGCUCAUAGAGCUCAUUGAUCGUUGAUUGUAGGUCAGCGUACUUGAUUCUGAAUCUCUGUCAGGAGCCAGAAACAUCCAGAAACUGCACAUUUAUUGUGUUAUACAAGUUAUUAGAAAUAUUGGAAAUAUCCAUUAUAUAAGUAAUCCAAUGUAGUUUAUAAAUUCUUGGCAAGAAUAACCAAACUCAGUGAUUUUACUGGUAUGCUGUCCCAUUUCACUGGUUUAAACUGUGUAACAUCCAUUAUUUUUACUAUAAAUACAGAAGCCAAAAGCCAAACUCAACAAGAUUGGAACAAAAAUCUCAAACAUACAUACCUUUCAACUUUUAAAGUUAACAUAAUGCUGCUAACCUAAUUAAUCAGAGUCCGCUGGGGUGGACUGCUAUAAAUCUAAUGAAAUGACAAUCCUGAGAAUUCAGAUCUCUUUUUUCCACUGAGGAUUUGGAAAAAUCAUAUUUAAUUCCCCAUACAGCCAAUCUAUCUUUAUCCAAGUAUCCACAAACUAAUGUAAGAUUAGUUUCUGUAACUAAAAAAAAUUGAUGCUCUGCUUCUAUAGCUUCAUAACAGGUCUUUUACAAUGUUUAGAUACUUAGAAUGUAGUGUAUGAUAAAAUUACUUCCAACAUUUUUUAAAUAAAAGCACUCCAUAGCACUAAAUGGAAUUCUGUGAGACAUGAUCCUCUUUGAAGUAAAACAAUUAGUUUUAUUCAUCAGAAUAGGCACAGCUUUAAGGCUGUUCAGCCGGUUAAAUUUCCUAUUUCUUGGCCACAGAAAUGGUUAGGAGGAAAAAAACCCCACAUUAUUUCUUUUAAAAAUUUGAAUAGCAAGCAUAUACAUACAUACGUUCAGAAAAGAUACCUACAUACAUUCAAAAAUAGAAGUGGGUUGCAGUCAAUUGAAUUUAUCAUGUUCUUUUUUUAAAAAAAUAUGCAUAGAUCUGUUCUAAUAUUGCAAAUAGCUCUCAUUCACAAAGUCUAUCCCAACUGACCUAUGAAAUCCAGUCACGAUGGCUGAUGCUGCACAAAAUUUGUACAGAUGUUUAAAUAGUUUACUCAGAUGGAAAUUAUACUGCAGCUUAAACAACAGGUGACAUUUUAUAGCAUAUAAGAUCUAUUGAACUCCAUUACUAGCUACAUAGGGGAGGCAGACUGUUAUGGAAGGUGUGGCCAUUCAUAAUUCAAAGAAGUUGCUCGUCAACUUAGCUAUCCCAGGAAACUUUCUACUACUCCACCCUCUCUUCUCACAUCCCCCCCCCUUUUGUCCAGGCAGAUGAGUAUAUUUCCAAUAAAACACAGGGAUGUUAUCACAUACUACUUUUAUUUUCUAACAUCUCUGGGGCAAAAGACAUUCAUAAAAAUAAGGCUAUGUUAAAAUAAUGGUUUUUGCUUUGUAGCAUGCUAGUUAUCAUUUUAUUAUUUACAAUUUGAUUUUUAAAAAAGGCUAAUGGGUGCAAAGGGAAUAUCCUGAAGCAUAUUGAUACAAAACUGCACUACAAUUUUCCAUUAAGAACAAUGAAUUUUCAGAUUAGUUCUGGUUUGUCUAUAACUCAAGAAAUGAAAAUAAGAACGAAAAGUAAUCACUUAAAUAACGAACAGAUGCUACAGCAGCAACUUCACCACCAAUAAAAACUCAACAACUAUACAAUUGUUUUGUGUUAAUUUAAUCAUACAAAUAUUCAUUUAUACAUUAAGGAAAAAGCAUCUUUGUUUUUCCCACAAUGUGCUAUUAUAGGAUUCUUCCCAGACUCAAUAAAGCAACACACCAUCCUGCUCUACACAUGCACUCCCCCCAGAGAGAAUAAAGACAGGCUGCAGUAUCAAUCAUUCACACAAGAGAAAAAAAAAAUGGAAACCUGGACAUGGGACAGCGUGCAUUUCUUAUCCCAGUAACUUCAGCUAUUCUUGCCCCUAGAAAGUUUCAAGACGGGGUUCAUUUG